GAAUACUUCUCCCUCUCUCUUCCUCUUUCUUUUCUUUUUAUUCUUUUUCCCCUUUUCUCCAUUUUCUCUCCCUCACCGCACACUUCUCUUCUCCUUUCUUUUCUUUCUUUCUUUCCUCUUCUCCAUCUCACGCACUCCCCUCCUCCUCCCCUAGUUUUUCACGCAGCCCAGCCCCCUCCCUUUCUUUCCCCCACGUUCUCAUCUCCUUCUCCCUUUCUUUUGCCCAGCCAAGCGACAACCCGAGAGAGGGAGAUGCUGAAUUUCAGAGAAGAAGAAGCAACCGGUUGAUGGGAAAAUUUAUGGGUUUCGGCCAUGGGCUUUUGUGGGGGAUAGUAUCCAGAUUGGAGACUUGAAUUGAUUCUCCAAUGUAGAGUCCAAGUGACUAGAAUCUGAGGGGAUGUUCAAGUCAAGAGUCUAAUGCAGCCAGAUGAUGUCUCUUGGCUGCAGGUACUCGGGUCGUAGUUGAUGAGGUCGUAGACGUGCAUUUGGGAUAUUAUGACCGGAGCUCGCCGCGAUGGUCGUAAUUGCGGGACCAUGGGCGUCCUCAGUUUUAUAAGUUUUGUUGUGGCUUGUGACGCAUGUGUCACUCGUUAUUGCAUAAAGCCAUUCUGUUAUGUAUUUAUAUUGUGGAAAGACUUAAACACAUAGAUAUUAAAUGGCUCUUGUUGUUAUUAAUUUAUGAUAGAUGUUUAGGAUUUGAUUUC